rnacentral:rRNA from 1 species
AACGUAGGGGGCCAGCGUUGCUCGGAAUUACUGGGCGUAAAGGGUUCGUAGGUGGUGCGGCAAGUUGGAAGUGAAAUCUCUGGGCUUAACCCAGAGGCUGCUUUCAAAACUGCCGUGCUCGAGUGCGGGAGAGGCCAGUGGAAUUGCAGGUGUAGCGGUGAAAUGCGUAGAUAUCUGCAGGAACACCCGUGGCGAAGGCGGCUGGCUGGACCGCAACUGACACUGAGGAACGAAAGCGUGGGGAGCAAACAGG